GUAACCAACCUGAUUUGUGAAAAUUUGUAAAUUAUUGUUCUUUUAAUCACUGAUUUUCGCUCAUCUUUAUAAUUUGUUUCCUUUAAUUGUACGCUAUCAAUGUUAAUAAAAGUUCCAGAGCUACUGCAGAUGAAUUCCUGUUUCGAGAUAAAUGUUUAUCAUGAUCUAUGAUCUACAAUAGGAUCAGGAAAGUCUCUACACUCUAAUAAUCCAAGUUGUUGUUUUUGUUUUUUAAUUUCAAUUUACAUCAUUAUUAAUAUUCUGUUUUAUCAUAAUCUUUUAAAUUGCUGUAGCCCAAUCUACAGCCUGUAAUUCAGGCCUACUCAAUUGAAAGACCCUUGAAGUGCUCAAGGAUGGACAUGUUUAGGGAGAUAGGCUUUCGAGCAAUAAACAUCUGUUUGGUUAUUUUUAAUCGUAUUCUUAAUGGAUAUCUAUUAUUUUGUUCAUCCAAUUCUGCGCUUCUGGAAUCUUUAAAUUAAUUUUAUUGUUAAUACUUCCUACGGUGCUUCUUACAAGUGGUUAUUGUUCAAAUCAAUUUGAAGUUCAAGCGUUUGAAUGUCAUUCACGAUAAAAAGGGUUUCUCAGCAGCAGAUUUAAUCACCAUUAAAUUGAAUCAAAUAAGUAAUUUAAUGAACCUGAAAGCAACCAUGAGGUGUUUUCCAAGGAUAUUUAACCCGUAAAGACCAUAAACAGAUAUAAUUCUGGUUUACUCUUAUAUCAUUACCAUCAUCAUCAGCUAUUAGCUGAAAACAAAAACAACAACCAAAUUGAAUUUGAUUGUAAUGUAACGUUUUCGCCGAUCUAUCCAAGUCUACUUAAUCGACUAACAUUUUGACCAAACCUGAAAACUUGCCAUCAUUAUAAUGGUCCUAAAUUGUCAUUACAAUAAUAUGGAUAAAAGAUGGUCAGUUAUUGAAUAUUGAAGCAUCCAAAAUUGUCACUCAUCCUAAAUAGCAACAAUUGUCUUCCUGGUGAAGAAGGUGAAAUUGGCGAUUUAAAUCAGCAGUUAGUUUAGCGUCUUUAAAUUAAAUUAUUUCAACGUUGAAGCAACAACAAAGCAAGCCUUGAUCAACAUACAACACAACCUGAUGUCAAGUCAAAUCAUCUCAACAUAAUCAAAGCUAAUUGAGUCGAAUGCUUAAUAGCAAUUUAAUUGUUAACCAAAUGGUUGGACAACAGAUAAACGGCAGCAAAAAGCGUCACCAAUGAUGCCGUUGAUUGUGCAGCUGAAAACUAACAGUUGAUUAAAUCUGGAAAUAUAAUGAACAUGAAUUGAUCUAAAAAUAUUGAUUAAACAAGGAAACUUCAAAUUUGAUUAAGAUCAAAUCCAGUCUGUCUAAUAAUCGUUUCAUGGACCAACUCAUCGUCAACCUUUUUGAGGGUUACUCUGACCAAGCACAAGAUCAAAACUAAUUAACAAUAAAUCAAAAAAAAGAGAAGGAAAACAAUUUUGUUAAAAUCAAAGUCAAUUGAAACAAUCAACUUGUUAUUUAUAUUGUUUAUCGUAUACAAUUCAAGUUGAAUGUUUAAAAUCAAAUGUAAAUGGUAAUCGUGAGGAAACUGAAACUAAAUUAAUUUAGUAUCAACAUCAAAACUGAACUGAUCUGCAAAUCAUUACAAUAUUAUUAAUAUAAUAAUAAUAUUAAUGAAGCAAAAAAACAUGAUUAGAUGAUAAUUGACCUUCCAUUUAGACCAAUUUUUGCUCCUGGAGAAGUGACCAUUAUAUUAAAGACCCUGGCUUUUUCAAUCUUAUUUAUUUAUACUUUUUCCUUCUAAUUCAGUCAAUUGUUACAAUUUAUUUCUUAAUUAUUUUCACCAUUUUUAAUUUGGCGAUUGUUGAUUAACCUUUACACAAAUCAGAUCAAGUCGAGUGAACAAAAACAUUUGAAAAAGUGUACUAAUAAUGAAAACAAUACAAUGAUGUGAAUAAGGUUUGCUUCAUUUUUAAUUAAUCAUUCACACCUUUUACAUUAUAACCAUUUAUGUGUGUAAUGAUUGGAAUUAAUAUUUUUUCAAUUUAAAAAUGUAUUGAUAGCUAAAUUAUUUACAAUCAAGAAAUAAAUAGAGAAAAGAAAGAGUAAAUUAACCCAAAGACCAGAAACAAAAUUGAACCCAAAAAGUGUAAACAGGCAAACCCAUUCACCAAAAUUGAACUGACACAAGGCAGUCUAAUGUUUGAAUAUUUACCAGUUAAUUAACAGAGUGAUUUGAUUGUGAACUGGUUUAAUGAGAAACUGUUUCAAGUGUAACAAUGAAAAGUGUUGCUUUCAAUUAAACCAUUUCCUAAUUUUUAUAAACGCUAUUUCAAGGUUUGAAAAUGAUCUGAAAUACUCAUUGUUAGGCUUAAAAGAUAGUAAAUUGUUUAAAUUGUUGACCAUUAAAUUGAUUAAUUUCAACGCC